UGGGGAAUCUUGCGCAAUAGGGGAAACCCUGACGCAGCGACGCCGCGUGCGGGAAGAAGGCCUUCGGGUUGUAAACCGCUUUCAGGAGGGACGAAGCUACUCGGGUGAAUAGCCCAGAGGGUGACGGUACCUCCAGAAGAAGCCCCGGCUAACUACGUGCCAGCAGCCGCGGUAAUACGUAGGGGGCAAGCGUUGUCCGGAUUUAUUGGGCGUAAAGAGCGUGUAGGCGGCCAGACAGGUCCGUUGUGAAAACUCGAGGCUCAACCUCGAGACGUCGAUGGAAACCGUCUGGCUAGAGUCCGGAAGAGGAGAGUGGAAUUCCUGGUGUAGCGGUGAAAUGCGCAGAUAUCAGGAAGAACACCUAUGGCGAAGGCAGCUCUCUGGGACGGUACUGACGCUGAGACGCGAAAGCGUGGGGAGCAAACA
rnacentral:rRNA from 1 species